rnacentral:rRNA from 1 species
GACGUAGGGCGCGAGCGUUGUCCGGAUUUAUUGGGCGUAAAGAGCUCGUAGGCGGCUUGUUGCGUCAGCUGUGAAAACCCGCAGCUCAACUGUGGGCUUGCAGCUGAUACGGGCAGGCUUGAGUUCGGUAGGGGAGACUGGAAUUCCUGGUGUAGCGGUGAAAUGCGCAGAUAUCAGGAGGAACACCGGUGGCGAAGGCGGGUCUCUGGGCCGAUACUGACGCUGAGGAACGAAAGCGUGGGGAGCGAACAGG